CAGCUCGGAAUUACAGUGGGUUCUGCAUAUAAAGAUUUUCUCUGGAUUCGAUGUUUCACUAUUUAGUAUCGAGUAAAAUCAACAAAUAAUUAUGGGUCAAACGAGGAUGAGAGUAUUUUAAAGUUGAAACAUAGUUGCAGAACACUCAUCAAAGCUUUAAUAAUAUUUUGUUCAUCUGGAACUUGAAAUGUCCUUUGUGUAUUGAUAAGCAAUUCAUGCAUGACUUUCAUCCUGAUUUGACAGAGGCUAUAUAAAUCUAAAAUACCAGUUUAAAAACUUACAUUAUCAAAUGAACCAGUGUUGCCAGUAUGCCUGAUUCCGGAGAUGAUUCUUGAUUGGGCAAAGUUAAACUAGACUGGGCUACUAGCAAGUCAUAUGUCGCAGGAUUUGAGCUAGUAGUGAACUGGAUAUUUCAAUGUUGUGUGCACUUUUUUCAUCGUCGCUGUCACUUUCAACUAGAACCUACAUAUACAAAAAAUAAAUAAUCUUACAUUCGUAUCGUAAACGUGAAGCUAUAAGAACAUAUUUUGAAUAAUUGAUGUCCGCUGUCGUGAUUUGGCCAUCAGCAAACAACAGUCGUCGACACGAAGGUGAAGAAAGUAAAUAACAUUUGCCAG